UACGUAGGGGGCAAGCGUUGUCCGGAAUUAUUGGGCGUAAAGAGCGUGUAGGCGGUCCGGUAAGUCAGCUGUGAAAGUCAAGGGCUCAACCCUUGAAAGCCGGUUGAUACUGUCGGGCUAGAGUCCGGAAGAGGCGAGUGGAAUUCCUAGUGUAGAGGUGAAAUUCGUAGAUAUUAGGAAGAACACCAGUGGCGAAGGCGGCUCACUGGUCCGGUACUGACGCUGAGGUGCGAAAGCGUGGGGAGCAAACAGG
rnacentral:rRNA from 1 species